UGAUGGCUACUACGGUAUGUGAAUGAACCUCCACAGUUCACCACAUGGGGACCCUAUGUGCAAGAGUUCGAAGUCAUUCCCAUCAGUGGCUCUCAGUCUUCUCUGAACCCCAUGGCUCCUGAGUUCAAAUCGCUAGGACUCCAACCAAUUCUUGAUCACUCAGUUGCACCUCUUGACACAAAUACAGCUGUCCAUCAGUCCCCAACCCAAAGUGGCCAUGUCAUCAUAGACAUUCCAGAAGAUGAGAUAUUGCAAAGCACAGUGGUCACAGACCCAACACCAGCUCAUGACACGGACAAUGUUCAGAACAGGUUUCCUGUAACCCCUAAAAGGCACUCAGAAGUUACUUGUGGGGAAGAACAAGGUAAGCAGCCCAGGCGUUCAAACAGAGAAAGACACCCCCCACCCAAGUUCACCUAUGAAGAGCUAGGGAAACCCCUAAUCCUUGCCCUUAGCCAGUUUUUUGGGAAACUCCAAGACAUUAUUCCUGACCAUCAGAUACCUUGUCAGAUUUAACGCACAUGCAGGGACUCAUGUGGUUUAGAGGGGGAGGGUGUAACCCUGUCAAUUUUGCCCCAAUAAAGUCCUGAAGUGACCUUUAAUGCAAACGAGUAAAACUAGGGUAAAAUGCAAUAUCUAGUUCGCCACUAGGUGGCAGUGCACAAUGAAACGUUCUUCUUCUGCUGUUUUCUGCCAUUCGAGCUGCCUUGAAAAAAGCCUGGAAAACAGGAGCCAGAGCAGAAGUAAAUAUUAAGAUUGAAAUUGAUUUAGAAAACGAAAUAUAUCCUCGAGGUUGAACUACAUUGAAAUUUAGACGACACCUUUUGUAAAACGAAGUUAUCUCGUGGAUUACAGUGGAUUAAAAAAAAAACAGUCUGGCUAUCUACAAUAGCAGUGGAUGUUACCACACAGACUGUUUUUUUUUUGAGGCUUCUUCUGGUCACAGAUCCCUGAUGUUCUUUCCACCGAAGCUGGAUUCCUCUCUGUUUGCCCUGGUGCCUGGUUCCCUGGUCCACUGCCUCAACUAACAGCGCUGCAACGGUUCCAUUGGGUGGUUUGAUAUGGACGCUGAGUAUUGAAGGGGUGGUUGGACAGUUAAAAUAUUUGAGUGCACUCAAGGGUAACAUUUUUUUUCUUUGAAAGAUUUUCCCUUUUGUUUUGUUUCAUGAGAUCUCAAAAGUUGUGCCCGAUUUGUUAACAUCAGUGGUACUAAUGCUAUGUGAACUGAACUAAAUAUUGAAUUUUGAACAAGGAAAUAAGGAAAUUAAUUUGAAUAAGAGCUACAUUCAAACUUUAAUCUAUUGCCCUGUGCUUCUUUUGGAGUGGAAUCUGUGAGUCUUUUGACCAUAUGAUUAGUACAUAACCAACCUCCUCAUCGAAUCUAGAUUUAGAUAACUCCUACAAUAGAUCCUUAGCCUGCCUAUAAGCAGAACUACCACCGUAGGGUUACA